AUGGUGUUUGCUUCAUUGUACACGCAGCGAGUUGCUGGAUGGAGCCCAGAAAAGGAAAUCUUCCCUGGGAUUCGGCCAUCCACAUCUUCAUCAAAGCCUUACACCGACCGACAAACAAGUCUGAUGUCCCAGGCCCACAGGGAAGGAGGGCGGCCCAUCUUCUCGGGAGAGCGCUUUGUGCCAGGCAGGCUUAGACCUGAUUUACCCUCCGGAUACUCCUCAGGCCAGCAGGGAGUUGGAGGCCAUCAUUUUACAGGUGACUCUCUGCUGGAUGCACUUUGUGUCCUUGCCAAAAUAUGAUAACCAGACUUGAAAACAGCAUGAUAGAGCUGAUUUGUUCCUGGCUGGAAUGUUGGUCCUCCUGAUACUUCUUGGGAUCUCUGGUUCCUUCAAGAUGCAGCUCAGGCUCCUGACUUCUUCAAGAAGCCUUUCUGGGACACCUCUCCUCUUCUCUGCCACUGUUAAAGGAGUAGUUGCCCCACUAAAGUUCCCUUUCAUUUGCUUUUUGUUUGGAACAGACCAAUGAAAUUGCAUGUUGUCUUCUUCAAUAGAAAUGUGUGUUCCUUGGGACUAAGCACUUUUAACUUUAGCCUUUAAGCACAUUCAUUGCCUGGAACAUAGUAUUUCAUAAAUGCUUGCUCAUUGAUUGAUUAGGAAUUAGAGAACUUUGGAUUUCUUGGAAAUCACCCAAGAGUUACCCAUGAGUUAAUCUCAGACUUGUGAUUCUUCUCUCCUUGGCCAUCAUAAAUAGUCAAGCUGGGAAAAUUUGGGUGCCUGAGCAGUUCAGCUCAAAAUCCCCAUGAGCCCCUGGGAUUUCUCAUGGAUGGAACCAUUGUUAGGCUGCCUAACUGAGGCUGGGCAGCAGUUUUUCUUAAAGCUACAGCACUUGGUUUCAACCUUCACACCACCCUCCAUUAGUUAUUUUAUUACUCUCUUGGAUUAGAGUGAGGAUCAGUUUUACAUCCCAUAAUAACACAGCAGUAUCAAUAAAAAUGCAGCCUAGUUAAGUACA
rnacentral:lncRNA from 1 species